CCAAGAGUAAAUGGUUGACAAUCUGCAGCUUAAUGAUUCAGGCGGCAAAGAGCAGACAUGGGGCGGGAGUGAUAGAGCAGCAGUUGGCGUCGAGCGGCGCCGGUGACAAGCGAGUAGUGCGGCGGAGAGCCGGAUUAUUUUGGUGAUGGGUAGCUGCGGCGGGCGGCCAAACACACAGGGGACUUCUUUUUUAUGUGGGGUUUGGCUACAAUGCCGUUGGCAUUGUACCCGGCACCAU
rnacentral:lncRNA from 1 species